UACGUAGGGACCAAGCGUUGUUCGGAUUUACUGGGCGUAAAGGGCGCGUAGGCGGCUAUUCAAGUCAUCUGUGAAAUCUCCGGGCUUAACCCGGAACGGUCAGAUGAUACUGCUUUGCUAGAGUGCGGAAGGGGCAAUCGGAAUUCUUGGUGUAGCGGUGAAAUGCGUAGAUAUCAAGAGGAACACCUGAGGUGAAGACGGGUUGCUGGGCCGACACUGACGCUGAUAGCGCGAAAGCCAGGGGAGCAAACGGG
rnacentral:rRNA from 1 species